CUAUCAUGCACGUCGAGCGACUGAUUAGAAGCUUGCUUCUAUGACGUUAGCGGCGGACGGGUGAGUAACACGUGGGCAACCUGCCUGUAAGACUGGGAUAACUUCGGGAAACCGAAGCUAAUACCGGAUAGGAUCUUCUCCUUCAUGGGAGAUGAUUGAAAGAUGGUUUCGGCUAUCACUUACAGAUGGGCCCGCGGUGCAUUAGCUAGUUGGUGAGGUAACGGCUCACCAAGGCAACGAUGCAUAGCCGACCUGAGAGGGUGAUCGGCCACACUGGGACUGAGACACGGCCCAGACUCCUACGGGAGGCAGCAGUAGGGAAUCUUCCGCAAUGGACGAAAGUCUGACGGAGCAACGCCGCGUGAGUGAUGAAGGCUUUCGGGUCGUAAAACUCUGUU
rnacentral:rRNA from 2 species